AUUAUAUUAGAUAGGGGGACUCAAUUUGUAUCAAGAUUUUAGAAAAUUCUAUUCAGCAUUCUAAAGAUGGAUAUAAAGCUUUUUUUGGCUUUUAUAAUUAUCAUUUUACUUAUUUUAUAAAUUCCUUUUACAAUAAAUCUAUAGAAGGAAAUUCAAAUGUAAGAUAAGACUAAGUACAUGAGUUCUACUUAUUACGGUCACACAAUUAACUGUGUUCCAAACCACUGAAAAUACUAAGGAAUACCACAAUAUUUUCUACUUCCUAAUAGUACUCCGUCGUCACUGAUAACAAUAAUGUAUAAUCCCUCACUAUCCUGAAAGAUAAUAAAUAAUCAUUCCAUAAUCCAAAUAUUGGAAUCCUUCACCACUAACUAUCCUUCUCAAUACACUUCUUUACAAAAUUUUAGAUUCUACACACUCUUUCUAAUGAAUCACUCUCAAUUUUCAACAUUCAAUAUAUUAUAAUCCUUCCAUUCAUAUCCAUUCUUCACAAAUAUUUCCAAUUAUUCUCUUUCAAUUCACUACUGUAUAACUCAACAUUCAAUAAAUCAAAUUCUUCCUUUGAUAAUAUUGAAUAUCCUUUCAUUCUAGAACAUUACUUCAUAUUUUUGAAAAACUAUCAAUAACUCUUCUCUUACAAAGAAAACAAAAUCCAAGAAAUAAACAAAGAAAGAGGUAGCACCAAGCUUAUCUUGGCUCAUGACUAUCAUAGUCUGGCCCUUAAACUAACUUCUAUAACUCCUAUAUACUUUCCCCUGAUUUUCUAGAUUCUAACCGUCAUUCCCUACUUAAUCAUUUUUCAUAACUAAUUCAAUCAUCCAUCCUCCUGAAUUGACUAUUCUAUG
rnacentral:lncRNA from 1 species